rnacentral:rRNA from 1 species
AUUGAACGCUGGCGGCAGGCCUAACACAUGCAAGUCGAGCGGAUGAAGGGAGCUUGCUCCUGGAUUCAGCGGCGGACGGGUGAGUAAUGCCUAGGAAUCUGCCUGGUAGUGGGGGAUAACGUCCGGAAACGGGCGCUAAUACCGCAUACGUCCUGAGGGAGAAAGUGGGGGAUCUUCGGACCUCACGCUAUCAGAUGAGCCUAGGUCGGAUUAGCUAGUUGGUGGGGUAAAGGCCUACCGAGGCGACGAUCCGUAACUGGUCUGAGAGGAUGAUCAGUCACACUGGAACUGAGACACGGUCCAGACUCCUACGGGAGGCAGCAGUGGGGAAUAUUGGACAAUGGGCGAAAGCCUGAUCCAGCCAUGCCGCGUGUGUGAAGAAGGUCUUCGGAUUGUAAAGCACUUUAAGUUGGGAGGAAGGGCAGUAAGUUAAUACCUUGCUGUUUUGACGUUACCAACAGGAUAAGCACCGGCUAACUUCGUG